AUCCUUCUGCUACUUCCUUGGCC
rnacentral:siRNA from 1 species